rnacentral:tRNA from 1 species
GUAGUUAUGUCAGAAUUAUAUGAGUUAGUUUUAAGCAUUAAUUAUGGAUUAGUCCUAACUACU